CAAAAUUAGCUCUCCGCGGAGCAAAUCGAAAUUUUAACACUUAAAAUUUUCACCUUUUGUUUCCGCCUUAACUUCCCCCAAAAUUUUCAGUUCCCGCUCCCAGUCCCCCCAAUUUAUUUCAGUUCCCUCUAAAUUUCUUACCGAAAUUCAGAACAAAUUGAAACCAAAUCUAUUUUAUUUCCCCCUAAAUCUUCUCGAUUUUUUUUUUUGUAUGAAGAAGUCGAUUGCUUUUUCCAAUCUUUCACAUAUUUCCCUAUCGUCACAAGAUUUUUUUUCCUUUUCUUUAUCUUUCCUAUGUCUGUAGGAGUAGUUAGAUUGAUGGUUUUUUUUGUGUGAUUUUUGCAUCUGAUUUCGCAUUAGGGUUUAUUUUUGUUUGAUUUCCGAUUUCGUAUGAGGGUUUUUUUCUUCUGUAUGGCUUAUGGGCGUUUUGUUGAAGGUCUUAAAUCUUUUCCUUCUUAACCCUAAAUCGAGGUUUGGCUGAAGAAGAGGGAAUGUUAAUCAUCUAGCUCACUCUUACCGUUGAUCUUGUUAUUCAGGAUAAGGCAGGUUGUGUUUCAAAAAUGGUUUUUGCAGGCCAACAAAGUAAUUUGACAACAAUCUCAAACAAGUAAACUUCCAUCUCAUGGCGUCUCAACGGUAAUUGCUCAUUAUGUUCCAUACAUUUUAGGUCAGAUGUUUAUCUUAUUGAAUGACAUCGUAGUGUAAAUGCCAGUUAUACAUAUUAGACUAUUAGUCUUAAGUGGAUUCAUUAGCAAUUACCGUUAUGCAACAUCUUUUCCUUGGACUGGCUUGAGCGGCGAAUGUAUCUGAGGUUGAACCAAACUGAACUUUUGUAUGCUUGUAUUGUUAAUUCCUUUUCAUUUGUUUGAAACUUUUUUCAUCACUCAAACAAUCUUUGACCAUAAUUUCAUGACUUGAAACUUAUAUAUCACCUGCCUUACUUGUGGGUGUACAUACAUAAUCAUACACAAAAGUUUUACCUCAAGAGUUAUCUCAUAUAUUGGAUUAAAUAAUUCUUAUGUACUUAUAGUUGUAUUAAUCUUUAUUUAGUUGGUGGCGUAAUUAUAUAAAUUGGUGAGAGGUACAGAUGUCUAGAGGGGCAGAUGUUAUAAAAGAUGAUGAUACGGUCUAGCUUCUUUUAGAUAAUGUUGAGUGGUAGUGUAAUUAAAUGGGAUCAUAUAAAGGAGCAAGUGAUGACAUUUCGUUGGGAGACCUGUAGAUAGAAACCGAAGGAUGAAAAUGAACACUAACUUGAUGAUCCACCAUGAUGUUGGUUUCUGAUGGUGGAAGGAUGAAAUCCCUUAUAUAUGGGAGUAAUAAUAUACACGUAAUCUAUGUUACUGACCAAAAGUCUGUGAAGAAUUUUAUAGUUUUUUUUUUUUACUCUCAGUUAAUCGUAGGAACAUACUUGAAGUAUGGGUUUGUAGAAAAUAUGCUUACUCGCGAUAAUGUUCCAUGAAAAUAUUUUGAACUAUCACUGAUCCUAAAACUCUGUUAUGAGAAGUUGGGAACAGGGAUGUGCAUCAUCUAAUCGAAAAUUAAUCCAUCCUUGCUGGCUACAUUUUUCCUGAUGUAAUGUGGAUAUGUUUUUCGUUCAUAUCAAGAGGAUAGAUAAUAUGCUCUACCUAUCUUGUCAAUUCAUCUUUAAAUUAAAGUAUGCCUAUUGCUAGAUAUACAUAAUCUUGGCCAGGUAACAUCUAUUGUGUUGGCGCGUUGCGUACUUAGGAUCAGACAAGAUUUUAUGAGGUUGUGAGUAAGUUCUUAAUUAAAACAAAGUUACCUGUAUCCCUACUCUGAAACGUGUUUACACAUAUGGCAAAUAUUUUUCAUAUGAUAUCUGAUGACCUCUUUUUUAUUCAUUUAUAUUUAUAUUCAUUUGUUUGUAGGACAAUUCCCAUCAUUGCAGGAAGAGAACCUGGCGAAAAAUGAAUUUAGCUUACCUACCAUGGAUGAGAUAUAAGCCACUUUGUCUAGGUAUGCAUUUGGAUUAGAUUAUUUAAAUCUGUUGAAUUCAAGUAGUUCUUGUUUUUUCUUCAAGCCUUUCUUUUUGUCAGUUCUAAUAAUCGUCUUUGAUAUAUUAAUUUGGCCAAUCACUAAUAUCACGUCAGAGCUCUUGGUUCAGUAUCCUUUAAGAAAUAUAUGUAUACUUUAGGCUUAUUCUGGUUACUUCUCUUAGAGCUCAGAUUACAUAUUGUUAUGUGUUCAUGCGUUGGUUAUUGAGUCUUCCAGCUUUAAUUCAACUCAAUAAACCUGGAGUAUCCGCAUUCACGCAAGCAAUUGGCCAGGUUUUAAAGGAAUGGAAAAAUAGUUGCAGCUGGAUAUGCGGUGACCGGUUUGGAAGGUGAAUUCUGUCACCACAUAAUUGUCCAAAAGAACGAGAGUAAAGCUCGCAUAGAAUGCGUCUACGAUGAUUCUGCACCAAUCUGGGACCCUCCUCAAGGUGAUGACUAUUAUUCACCACAGAACUGUCCAAAAGAUCGAGAGUAAAGUUCGCAUAGACUGCGUCUAUGAUGAUUAUGCACCAAUCUGGGACCCUCCUCAAGAUGAUGACUAUUACUAUAAGUUAUCUUUGUAUGUUGGUGGUGGUUGAAUAGUGUGGCAUAAGAAACGUUUGCAAUUUACAAAUUAAACUUUGUGUACUUCUUUCUAUAGAUAAGUACUAUUAGGUAGAGUUUAUGUUUUAAUUUAUAAUAAUUUUUAGUUUUUAUUGUUUAGUGUUUUAGUAGUGUAUUAGGAUAUUAGUUGAUGUUGAAACAUAUUUCUUUUUAUUAAUCUAAU